GCCCGGGUGGCUCAGUCGGUUGAGCGUCGGACUUUGGCUCAGGUCACGAUCUCACAGUUUGUGAGUGCAAGCCUCACGUCGGGCU
rnacentral:tRNA from 1 species